rnacentral:rRNA from 1 species
CCUACGGGUGGCAGCAGUAGGGAAUUUUCGUCAAUGGGCGCAAGCCUGAACGAGCAAUGCCGCGUGAACGAGGAAGGUCUUCGGAUCGUAAAGUUCUGUUGAAGGGGAGAAAGAGCGGAGAGAGGAAAUGAACUCCGAUUGAUAUUACCCUUCGAGGAAGUCACGGCUAACUACGUGCCAGCAGCCGCGGUAAUACGGAGGUUGCGAGCGUUAUCCGGAAUGACUGGGCGUAAAGGGGGCGUAGGCGGCCUGCUAAGUCCGGAGGGAAAGGUACGGGCUCAACCGGGAAAGUGUAUGGAAAACGGCGGGCUAGAGAGCAGGAGAGGGCGGUUGAACUCCAUGGGUAGCGGUAAAAUGCGUAGAUAUAUGGAAGAACACCAGUGGCGAAGGCGGCCGCCUGGCCUGUUGACUGACGCUGAGGUACGAAAGCGUGGGGAGCAAAUAGGAUUAGAUACCUCGGUAGUC